GACGAACGCUGGCGGCGUGCCUAAUACAUGCAAGUAGAACGCUGAAGGAGGAGCUUGCUUCUCUGGAUGAGUUGCGAACGGGUGAGUAACGCGUAGGUAACCUGCCUGGUAGUGGGGGAUAACUAUUGGAAACGAUAGCUAAUACCGCAUAAUAGCAGUUGUUGCAUGAUAACUGUUUGAAAGGUGCAAUUGCACCGCUACCAGAUGGACCUGCGUUGUAUUAGCUAGUUGGUGGGGUAACGGCUCACCAAGGCGACGAUACAUAGCCGACCUGAGAGGGGGAUCGGCCAACCCGGGAAUGGGACACGGCCCAGACUCCUACGGGAGGCAGCAGUAGGGAAUCUUCGGCAAUGGACGGAAGUCCGACCGAGCAACGCCGGGUGAGUGAAGAAGGGUUUCGGAUCGUAAAGCUCUGUUGUAAGAGAAGAACGAGUGUGAGAGUGGAAAGUGCACACUGUGACGGUAGCUGACCAGAAAGGGACGGCUAACUACGUG
rnacentral:rRNA from 1 species